GACGUAGGGUGCAAGCGUUGUCCGGAUUUAUUGGGCGUAAAGAGCUCGUAGGCGGCUCGUCGCGUCGACCGUGAAAACCUAGGGCUUAACCCUGGGCUUGCGGUCGAUACGGGCGGGCUAGAGUUCGGUAGGGGAGACUGGAAUUCCCAGUGUAGCGGUGAAAUGCGUAGAUAUUGGGAAGAACACCGGAGGCGAAGGCGGGUUGCUGGGCCGACACUGACGCUGAGGCGCGAAAGCCAGGGGAGCAAACGGG
rnacentral:rRNA from 1 species